GUCGCUUUUGCUGGAUUCGACAAGAAGAGAGCUAGGAGAGAAAGAACAUGACAGGAGCUUCGGACUGAGAAACUUCAGGUACAUCGAGGAGAUCAAGGAAGCUCUAGAGAGGGAGUGUCCUGGUGUUGUCUCAUGUUCUGACAUUCUCGUCUUGUCGGCAAGAGAAGGAAUCGAAGCAGUAAGUUAAAACAAGUCGUGCCGUUUCUGUCUCUGGUUGUGAAACUGCAUGUUUUCUUUUUAGGGAAUGUUUUGUAAAGUAGGUUUGUUUGUGUAGGUGGGAGGACCAUAUAUUCCUUUGAAGACAGGAAGGAGAGAUGGACUUAAAAGCAGGACCGAUAUGCUUGAGUCAUAUCUUCCCGACCACAACGAGAGUAUCUCCGUCGUUCUUGACAAGUUCAAAUCCAUCGGAAUCGACACUCCCGGCCUCGUUGCUCUCCUAGGUACCUUUACCUUUCUCUUCCUUGUUUGUCACUCACUAGUCUCGGGUAAAAACGUAUCGCUCGAAAUUCGAAACUGUUGACCAUCCAAGAAAUGUUGUUGGCUUGUUGCUAACGCCUUAGUUCAAGGGUAUUUUAGUUAAUUUCCUCAUGCAUUAAAAUGAAACCAUUUAAGCUAAUCUUGUCAAAUCACGAAAGUAGUAUGCUAUCUGAGUCGGAAAGUUGAAAGUUAUCCUUACCGAACUAUCACUAGUCCUCAGAAAAAGACAAAUUUAUUCUUGUUUAUGCUCCGGCUCAAUGGUCUAGCAGAAGGUUAUUCUGGUCAAUCAACUCAUGCAUGCUUAAAAAUAGUAAUCAAACUAAUUGACUUUACACUUAUGGGAUCUGAAUUUAGGCGAUCGGAAUUUAAGUUUCUUGUUAGAUUUUUUAAGCUUCGAUAUUGAAA
rnacentral:lncRNA from 1 species